rnacentral:rRNA from 1 species
CUCAUCAUUCUCUUUGUUUUUACCAAACCUCCUUGUCAGAUCUCUGAAGCUAAGUAGAGCUGGGCCUGGUUAGAUGGGAUGGGAGACCACUGGGAAUACUGGGAAACUUUGAGC